rnacentral:tRNA from 1 species
GAUUCAAUGGUCUAGUGGUUAUGAUUUGUGUCUCACAUCUGUACUGCACGUUUGUGUACCACACAAGGUCUCCAGUUCGAUCCUGGGUUGAAUCA